AGCAGCCGCGGUAAUUCCAGCUCCAAUAGCGUAUAUUAAAGUUGUUGCAGUUAAAAAGCUCGUAGUUGAAUUUCGGAGUUUGUCGGUUGGUCUGGCUUCACUGUCCGCACUGGCCUGAUGGAUUCCUACCUUCUGAAUAACCAGCAUGCUAUUAAGUUAGUGCGUUGGGGAAGCAGAGCUAUUACCUUGAAAAAUUAGAGUGCUUAAAGCAGGCUUAUGCUUGAAUAGAUUAGCAUGGAAUAAUAAAAUAGGACGGCAUGGUUCUAUUUUGUUGGUUUCUAGGAUCACCGUAAUGAUUAAUAGGGAUAGUUGGGGGCAUUAGUAUUCAAUUGUCAGAGGUGAAAUUCUUGGAUUUAUUGAAGACUAACUUCUGCGAAAGCAUUUGCCAAGGAUGUUUUCAUUAAUCAAGAACGAAAGUUAGGGGAUCGAAGACGAUCAGAUACCGUCGUAGUCUUAACCAUAAACUAUGCCGACUAGGGAUCGGACGAUGUUAAAUUUUUAAUGUACUCGUUC
rnacentral:rRNA from 1 species